UGCACACUCUAAAAAAUGUUGGGUUAUUUUUUCUACCCAACCGCUGGGUUAAGCCUGUUGGGUCAUUUUAUUGGGUUAUUUUCUCAGUGUUGGGUAGUUUUUAGUGUAACCCAGCCGCUGGGUUACUAGUUGGGUCAAUUUUAGUGACAGUUGACACAGUGAGCCCCUCCCCCUCCUCGACGCCUCAACUCUAUCCUUCGCGGGCAUUUUGAGUCACCUCAGGAGUCAAGAGCCAUCGUUUUUCAGCGAGGACAGCUGUUAUUCGGAGAAAAAAAAGGGUGCAGAAUAAUGGAUAAUUUUGUACAGGAGAAGCUGAAAGAAUGGAACUUGGAAGUCCUGAUACCAAGCUUUAAAGAUGAACAAAUUGAUGAAGAAACCCUCCUGCUGCUUGAUGAAAAAUCACUAGAAGCUAUGAUACCAAAAAUAGGCCUGUGAUUGAAAUUUAAAAAGCACCUGAGAGAGCUGCUUGUGAGUGAAGAAAUGCACAUUUAAGAUGGGAUAUAUCUGCUUUAAGUGCAAAAAGACUGUUGGGGCCAAUGUUCGUUUUUUGUUUUCGCAUCUAAGAAUAAUGCAUAAUGUAUAUAGUUCAUCAAGUUAUUUUGAGUGUGGCCAAGCUGGGUGUCAUAGGACACUUAACUACAGCAGAUCAUUUAAGAGGCAUCUGCUACAGCACCGUGUAGAGUCUGAGGCAGAAGUAUCCAGCCAGUCAACACACUUGCCUCAGACAAUGACAUUGAGGUCUGACAGCAGACCUCUGGCUUCUCAGAGUGAGCCUUUUGAAGAGGAAGAUAAUGCUGCUGAUGACAUGGAAUGGGAUGAGUUAGAGCAGAACACUAUCACAGAUCGAGUGGCCUUGUUUUUAUCAAAAUUACUCUCU
ensembl:lncRNA